GGGAUGGAGCAAGGAGAGGGAGGCCAAAGGAGGAGUUUCAAAAUGUACAUAAGGGGCUGCAUGGAGGCAGAGAGAAAGAGAGCCAUUGCCCUAAGAGAGGAUGACUGGAGAGAGAUGCAGCAGCACUGAGAGCAGGGUGGUGGCGGCGGCAGAAGCAGCAGCAGCAGCCUAGGCCUGCCUGGCCCCCACACUCUGUCUUCCUGGAGCUGUUUCCUGCAACUAGCCCUGCCUUGCCUUCUCAACCUCACUGGGAUCUGACCAGCCUGGACUCUUCUCACCCCUGCUGUCCCCUGAAGGGAACGAAAGCCCCAAAGGAGUAAUGCAACGCUCUUCUCCAGAUUCCACAGGGCCACACAGGCAACCAGGAAGACCCUGAAGACGACGUACCUGUUUUCCCAGGCCUUCAACUGAGAAUCAAUUAUUUAAAUUUUAAUAUGUUAUUAAUGUGACUUAAUCUUUUUAUGAAUUUUAAGUGUGUUAUGUUUUAUGUUUUUAAUUCUGUACACCGCCUAGAGAUUUUUAUACUAGGUGGUAUAUAAGUUAGUUAAAUAAAUGAAUGAAUAAAUAAAUAAAUA